rnacentral:lncRNA from 1 species
CCACCCUUUUGUUAUUGAGAAUAGGAUUGCUGUGAACUCUCAUGUACACGUAUUUGAACACCUUUUAAAAAUUCUUCUGGGGUGUAUAUCUAGGGGCAAACUGCUGGGUCACCUGCUAACUCUCUGUCCAGCUGAGGAACUGACAAGCUGUUUUUUGUCUCCACCUCCUUGGACCACAUGGAAUUUUCCUUCUCUACUCUAGUCCUUCUGGGUACUGUGAAAUGAUAUCUCAUUGUGAUUUGGAUGCUCUCGUGUAUUGUGACCAGCAGAUUACUGGUGAACAUUCAUGUGUUCCAGAUUUUUACUUUUAGCAGAUCAAUGUAAUGAAGCCUUUGAAUAUUUAUAUUUGGAUGAUAUGUGAAUAUUUUUCUAGAUAAAAUCCUAGAGGUAGAAGUGCUAGAGGAAGUGGAUUUUGUAUUUAAAAAUUUGGUAAAUUUUAAAAAUAUUUUAACAAUUUAUAUACCAUAAAGAUAUUUGAAGGUCCAUUUCUGCCUUUUGAUAGUCGAAGCUUUCUGUUACUUAGAACAUAGCAUCUGUCAAUCCCUCUGUCCUCCCUUCUUUCUUUACCUCUCUGCAAAUGUGGAACAAUCCAGGCAACAGCGACUGAUUGUUCACCACAACAUGCCAAAGUUUUUCUGGAGUCAAAAUAAGAACUUAAAGACAAAGUUACCAAAACCAUUAAUUUGGUGUCUUAAAAAUCCUUUUUCCUAUUUGAUUUUUCCUGAACGUCUUUUUGGGGUUCAUCUCCGUGUUGUGUUUUCUCCUCUGUGAAUUGCCUCUUUAUGCUCAUAUUUUAUUCUGGAUUGUUUUGCUUUCUUUCCAUAGACCUGGUUGAAGGCCUGAUAUAUGAAAGAUACUAAUCCUUCUUUUUUUCUCUCUGAGAUGGACAUUAUUUCUUCCUGUUUUUCUCAAACGUGUCAAGCUGUUCUAGUCUUGGGGUUGGCACCACUAGGUCCACAGUCUAGAAGGCACAGGCGCAGGGCUUCCUAUUUCACCCAAAGAGCUACAGCCAAUGUUCAUUUUAUUUUGAUAAAUUGAUCCUGGCUUGGUCAUCAGGACCCUCUUCAAGCUGGUGCCUGUGUCCUUUGGAAUGUUUUCCUCCCUGGGGAAAAUCAGUGGUUCAGCAGUGGAGACCUUGACAAAUGCCCGGGAAGCAUUUGUCUACGAGAUAGAUGAAUAGAUUUGUCCAUGCACAGAAGCCUUUGUGGGUUGGAAACCCCCAUUCUCAACAUCUAGAACAGUGCCUGGUGCAAAGCAGGCAAUGUGUUGCUGAAUGUAUAAUGAACAAGUGACUGAAUGUUGUACUGAGCCCCUGCUAGAUGGGGUUUUCUCCUUUAUCCACCUGUUCACCUUCUGAGGGUCUCCACCUCUCCCAAGCCAUCCAGACCCUUCCUCAGGGCCCCCACCACUUUCUUAACAUGCCUUUGUUGUAACACUUAUCAAUUUCUCCCCUAAUGUGCUGUGAGCGUGAGCCCAGCAGCCAUCUUAUUUGCGUUUUUGCGUCACCAGUGUGUGCUGUAGUACCUGGCAUUUCCACCUCUAGAU